GGUGAACGCUGGCGGCAUGCUUUACACAUGCAAGUCGAACGGUAACAGGUUAAGCUGACGAGUGGCGAACGGGUGAGUAAUGUAUCGGAACGUGCCCAGUCGUGGGGGAUAACGUAGCGAAAGCUACGCUAAUACCGCAUACGAUCUCUGGAUGAAAGCGGGGGACCGCAAGGCCUCGCGCGAUUGGAGCGGCCGAUAUCAGAUUAGGUAGUUGGUGGGGUAAAGGCCCACCAAGCCAACGAUCUGUAGCUGGUCUGGGAGGACGACCAGCCACACUGGGACUGAGACACGGCCCAGACUCCUACGGGAGGCAGCAGUGGGGAAUUUUGGACAAUGGGGGCAACCCUGAUCCAGCAAUGCCGCGUGCAGGAAGAAGGCCUUCGGGUUGUAAACUGCUUUUGUACGGAACGAAAAGGCUCUGGUUAAUACCUGGGGCUCAUGACGGUACCGUAAGAAUAAGCACCGGCUAACUACGUGCCAGCCGCCGCAGUAA
rnacentral:rRNA from 1 species